AAUCCAAGAAAUUUUAGAUCUAACAAAAAAAAUAACAAAAAAAAAAGAGAAAAAAACCAACACAAGGCACCAAUUUGGCAAAUUUAACGCACCAAGUGUAUCUACUAAUACAAAUAAAAAAGAAUUAAGCAAUCCUUUAGAAUUAAAAAUUCUAAGUAAGAAUAGCUCUUUGUUAAUUUUUGCAGAAGUUCUAUGUGAUAUCAAAAAGUAUCUUUUAGAAUUUGAUGCAUCUUUUAUAAUUGUGAAAGUAAAUGAGUUAAUUGUCAUUAAUCUAAAGCUUUGAAUUGACUUAUAUUUA
rnacentral:lncRNA from 1 species